rnacentral:rRNA from 1 species
CAGCCGCCGCGGUAAUACGCAGGUGGCAAGCGUUGUCCGGAAUUAUUGGGCGUAAAGGGCCCGCAGGCGGUUUCUUAAGUCUGAUGUGAAAGCCCCCGGCUCAACCGGGGAGGGUCAUUGGAAACUGGGAAACUUGAGUGCAGAAGAGGAGAGUGGAAUUCCACGUGUAGCGGUGAAAUGCGUAGAGAUGUGGAGGAACACUAGUGGCGAAGGCGACUCUCUGGUCUGUAACUGACGCUGAGGAGCGAAAGCGUGGGGAGCGAACAGGAUUAGAUACCCCGGUAGUCCCUGUCUCUUAUAC